rnacentral:rRNA from 1 species
UACAGAGGUCUCAAGCGUUGUUCGGAUUCAUUGGGCGUAAAGGGUGCGUAGGCGGCGCGGUAAGUCGGGUGUGAAAUCUCGGGGCUUAACUCCGAAACUGCAUUCGAUACUGCCGUGCUUGAGGACUGGAGAGGAGACUGGAAUUUACGGUGUAGCGGUGAAAUGCGCAGAUAUCAGGAGGAACACCGGUGGCGAAGGCGGUUCUCUGGGCAUGUCCUGACGCUGAGGAGCGAAAGUGUGGGGAGCGAACAGG